UUGUUUUCCAGCAUUACAUAUGCCAGAGUAGUAUGUUAGCAAUUAUAUGUUAACUUGCAUAUCUCUGCUCUCACUGUGGCUGCUCUACAGAGGAGUUCAUUCUAGUGCCACUCAUAUAAGAAGGGGGAGGAUGUCUACUCAGCAUGCAUUAAUAUGCGGCACAUAGCAACGUGUCUGAAUGCCAGUCUUCAAUUCUUCAUUACACAAAAUGGCUGGAUUGCAGUGAUUGUUUUCGUCUGCAUACACACACUCUCAAGGCAUUUUCUGUUCCAGCCUAGGCUUAUCAGUGUAGUGGCUUGUGUGAGCAGUUGGUUGUGGCAUGCACAAGGGGAUUCCUGCCAAACAUCAAGGCCUUUUUUUAUGCCAUAGAUCAACAAGUGGCAAAAUCAAUGGUAUACAGUUAUUCAGCAGUGCAAUUCAUUUCACUGGCUUUGGCUGGUAGCCAGAUCCGCCAUCUGUCUUUCGCUCUGUCUUCUCUCUCGCUUGAAUUUGUCCUACAUUUUGUUAUGAUAUGUGCUUGCCAUCUUUAUCGUGCGACAGAGGUAAAUACCAGCCUCCCAUAUCUGCCGUGGGGGUUUUUUGUGCAUUUGGUGGCACUCUGGAUACUUCAUUUCUGUGCCAUUGGGCAAAAAAGAGAAGCCAAGAGAAAAUGCUAUAGCCUACAUGUAUUCUCUUGCUACUGCCUGAGCUUUCCUCUUCUUUUUUUUUUGUUUAAAGCAUUAAGAUGGAUCUGUCUCACAUGGGAACAUUUCCGGCUUCAUUAGAGUAUCUUCGUUUUCUUUAUUAGAGACUGGCACCAUACGCCACUGCACAGCUCAUGGAAUGCCUGCUGUUGGAUACUUGCAAAUCUCUGCCACCAAGCAACCUCUUGCAAUGGAAAUAGGGUGACUUCACCAGGAUCUUAUGUGUGCUUGCUGUCUGAAGCUGCAGAAAAGUGAAUAAUCAAUUAAGUAUUGAUUUCUUGUACGAUUUGGUAAAUUUCAAAGGCAAGACAAAGAGGAUGGCUUAAAGGAAAGCACUGCAGGGACUUGGCGUAAAUUAAACAACUAACAGCAGUGAAGAAUAAAAUAACACCUCAACUGAAUAUUUCCUUGGAAGAAUUAGUACCAGCUAUUGGAAGACAAUGGUGGAUUUAAUCAAAGCAGCAAGCGACCGAGCAUUUUAACUAUGAGACUGGAAAAGGAGUUAAUUAUACCCACCUCUUUUAAUGGAGCUAAUUUGACUGAAUGGAUGCAAAUGUGCUUUAUUUAUGGAUGACAAAACAAGCCUUCCAGCAUCGAAGUCGGAAUUAUCACAUAUGUUUAGCUUCAAAUCCUUCUUUUUUUAAAUGAACAGCCUGAUCUCCAAGCCAUAUUCCAAAAGCAUAUCACGAGAAACACUGUACAUAAAGCCGAAACACAAAGACGUUGUGCAAAUAAUGAAUCCUCAUUUGCAUCAGCAUUUGCAUUCAGAUUUGCUAGGCUUUAAACUUGGCAGAUCAAGCAGAAUAUUAAACAUUGAGUCCAAUAAGAAAUUGAAAGUAUCUGGUUUAUGUGGCUAUGUGGUAAUGGGAGAUAAAGUCCUAUAGAUGCAAUAUGCACUGGAAAGGGACAUGGCACUGAUUCUUUCUUCAUAGACAUGUCAAUCUGGACAGCAGGGUCAGAAUGAGACAAGGAUACACUUGUGAGGAUUUUAUCUGAAGAAAUACUGAUGUGUGACUAAGCAAUAUCUCUGCUGUCUAGGAAUAGGGGGGAACUAUUCUCUUGUUCCAGGAAGAGUACUCUAAAGGCAGUUCGUUUUUUAGCAUUAAAGACACACACACACACAUAUAUAUAUUCUUGCUUGUAUAUAAUUUAAAUAUUUACAUAUUCCCUAAUUCACUUGAAAACAAAUAUUUCAAACCAUCUAAUGAUUAUAAGUACAUCUCAAAUGCUGUAAUAAAUUGUGGUGCAUUGUAUAAACAUGUUGUUUAAACUGAUGAAAACAAAAACUGCAAGUUGUACUUUGAGUAUCAGUAGGUACUUCUUUCAGAAAAAGCUUGAGAUCUUAUUGUCAUUAAAAAAAAAACUUGUUUAGCCUGUAUUUCAAUGUUUCUCUUGUAUGAGAUUUAAUUUAUUAGAUACUAGCAUUGAUACUAGAAUGAAAUUGUUUUCAUGUUAAACCACCUAAGUUAUCAUGAAAUGAUUUUAUUUUACCAAAGUGUUGAAACCUUGGGCCUAUUGUUUUAUUCUUUCACAAUGAAAUGAUAAAGUCAUAUAUUAUUCAUGUAUUAUUUCAGCUGUUGACUUUAGAUUAGUUUGGUUUAGUUUAAUAGAAAUUUUGCCUACAUAAUUCUGUACCAUUAAACAUCAAACAUUAUCGCACAUUAUCAUAUAUAUAUUCAUUUAUAAAUGACUUUAUACUAUUCAUUGCUUUCACACAUCUUGUAAUAAAUUUGUAUUUGUCAUAAUGUCAAUUUUUAUUCAUUUAAAAUGCAUCUUAUUUAACAGCGGUAAUACUGAGUUCUCUUUGCUGCUGUAAAUGUGGAGAAUGCACAUCAAUUGUUUCAAGUUAUGGGAACGUAAUUCAAUUUACAUUAUGAAAAGUAGUUAAUAUUACAUUUGGGAGAAAUGGAAACUUCCAAGCUUACCAAGAGGUAUUUCACAAUUGGAGGUGUCCAAACAUUUGGGGUUUAAUGUGACUAAGAAAUUAUGCAUAUUUAAACUUCUUCUUAAUUGUAUUGUGUGUUAAGAUAAGCUCUCUAACAACUUCAGUUUUUACUAGGCUGCAUGCUUUGGAGCUAAACUGAAGUCUUUUUGAAGUUGAAAAACUUGGAGGCAAUAUAUCAACAAUGUAAUAUAAUCAAUAAGGAGUGUGUAUAAAAUGUAUUGCAUUUCAUGAUCUAGGUCUGAUCUUUUGUUUGUAAAACUCUGCUUGAGUAUAUUUAUAAUCUUUUACAAGUCAAUUAUAACUAUUAUUUUUGUAUGUGUGACUAUGUAGAUACAUUAUCUUGUAUGUGAAAUGCUUUGGGCCUGAGGUCUUCUGGAUCCCCAGAAAUUCUGCUAAAAAUCAUUCAAAUAUUAAAUAAACUCAACAGGAUUGUUUUGCAACCUGUAUACUGUAUGACCCCCAGAUGAUGCUCCCCUGUGAGUCGAAUAAGGAGGAAUACUGUAAAUCUUUAUUGUGUUACCAUAUGAACUGACCUGGCGUGAGUACUGAAGACGGCUCAAGAGAUGGAGCCGAAACGUUGAAAAUAAAUUUUUAUUAAGCUUUUUAUGGAUAUAUAUUUUACAUUACCCAGUAAAUUUCUUGUCUAUUGGGGUGCACUUAAUACACUAAGCACAUUUAUAAAAAUGUAUAAGUAAAAGACACUGACUGUUGUUAGAAGGGCCUAAGUGUGAUUAAUAUUCUCCAGGUGUUUGGCAUGUUUUGUCAUUGUAAUGUUCUAACGAAGCCAGCAUGCAUUCAUAUGUAUAUGAAAUCCAUUGGAGUAUGCAGAGCAAGUUAAUAAAUAACUAAACUACUGUA